rnacentral:rRNA from 1 species
AUUGAACGCUGGCGGAAUGCUUUACACAUGCAAGUCGAACGGCAGCACGGACUUCGGUCUGGUGGCGAGUGGCGAACGGGUGAGUAAUGUAUCGGAACGUGCCCAGUCGUGGGGGAUAACGUAGUGAAAAUUACGCUAAUACCGCAUACGAUCUAUGGAUGAAAGCGGGGGAUCGCAAGACCUCGCGCGAUUGGAGCGGCCGGUAUCAGAUUAGGUAGUUGGUGGGGUAAAGGCCCACCAAGCCAACGAUCUGUAGCUGGUCUGAGAGGACGACCAGCCCCACUGGAAAUGAGACAGGGUCCAGACUCCUACGGGAGGCAGCGGUGGGGAAUUUUGGACAAUGGGCGAAAGCCUGAUCCAGCCAUUCCGCGUGCAGGGUGAAGGCCAUCGGGUUGUAAACUGCUUUUGUACAGAACGAAAAGGUUUCUACUAAUACUAGGAGCUCAUGACGGUACUGUAAGAAUAAGCACCGGCUAACUACGUGCCAGCCGCCGCCGUAA